GACGGAGGAUGCAAGUGUUAUCCGGAACUCAGUGGCGUAAAGCGUCUGUAGGUGGUUUAAAAAGUCUACUGUUAAAAAUUGAAGCUUAACUUCAAAGAUGCCGUAGAAACUUUUAAACUUGAGGAUGGUAGGGGUAGAGGGAAUUUCCAGUGGAGCGGUGAAAUGCGUAGAUCUUGGAAAGACCACCAAUGGCGAAGGCACUCUACUGGGCCAUGACUGACACUAAGAGACGAAAGCUAGGGGAGCAAAUGGG
rnacentral:rRNA from 1 species